rnacentral:rRNA from 1 species
GACGUAGGGCGCGAGCGUUGUCCGGAUUUAUUGGGCGUAAAGAGCUCGUAGGCGGUCUGUCGCGUCGGUCGUGAAAACUUGGGGCUUAACCCUGAGCUUGCGGUCGAUACGGGCAUGACUGGAGUUCGGUAGGGGAGACUGGAAUUCCUGGUGUAGCGGUGAAAUGCGCAGAUAUCAGGAGGAACACCGGUGGCGAAGGCGGGUCUCUGGGCCGAUACUGACGCUGAGGCACGAAAGCCAGGGGAGCAAACGGG